rnacentral:rRNA from 1 species
UACGGAGGAGGCAAGCGUUAUCCGGAAUUAUUGGGCGUAAAGCGUCCGCAGGUGGCACCUCAAGUCUGCUGUCAAAGACCGGGGCUUAACCCCAGAAAGGCAGUGGAAACUGAAGCGCUAGAGUGCAGUAGAGGUAGAGGGAAUUCCCGGUGUAGCGGUGAAAUGCGUAGAGAUCGGGAAGAACAUCGGUGGCGAAGGCGCUCUGCUGGACUGCAACUGACACUCAGGGACGAAAGCUAGGGGAGCGAAUGGG